UACGUAGGGUGCGAGCGUUGUCCGGAAUUAUUGGGCGUAAAGAGCUUGUAGGCGGUCUGUCGCGUCUGCUGUGAAAAUCCGGGGCUCAACCCCGGACUUGCAGUGGGUACGGGCAGACUAGAGUGUGGUAGGGGAGACUGGAAUUCCUGGUGUAGCGGUGAAAUGCGCAGAUAUCAGGAGGAACACCGAUGGCGAAGGCAGGUCUCUGGGCCACUACUGACACUGAGAAGCGAAAGCAUGGGGAGCGAACAGG
rnacentral:rRNA from 1 species